GAAUAUUGGACAAUGGGCGAAAGCCUGAUCCAGCCAUGCCGCGUGUGUGAAGAAGGUCUUCGGAUUGUAAAGCACUUUAAGUUGGGAGGAAGGGUUGUAGACUAAUACUCUGCAAUUUUGACGUUACCGACAGACUAAGCACCGGCUAACUUCGUUCCAGCAGCCGCGGUAAUCCGAAGGGGGCAAGCGUUACUCGGAAUUACUGGGCGUAAACCGCGCAUUCUUACUGUGUUAAGGUGACAAUGCCAGCCCCGGGCUCAACCUGUAAACUGCUUUCAAAACUGCCAAGCUAGAUUAUGUCAGAGAAUUAUUCACUUUCCUUUCUCUCUUUUAAAUGCCUAGAUAUCGGAAGGAACCCCCGUCCCUAAGGCUACCACCUGUGCUAAUCCUGACACUGAGGUGCGAAAGCGUGGGAAGCAAACAGG
rnacentral:rRNA from 1 species